CACGCGCAGACGCUGGACAAAGGGGUGAUUCACGUUCCAGACCGCGCGAGAUUUCAUCACGGUACUCAGGACAGCCCUGCAAUUUCAAACUUAGGAGUUGCUUAUUUCUGAAGUUUUCCAUUUAAUAUGUUUGCACUGCAGCUGACCACAGGUAACAUCGUGUUCCAGGAGAAGAAAAAAAAAUAAAAAGGAACUGAUAUCAUUGUUACUGCCUGCUUCCUGAGCCAAGCCACCAUGCUUCUGCCAAAGAUAACACCGUCUUUAAGAUGCCUACAGAAACUCCCAGCAUUAUGCGAGGUCCUCUUAGAUGCUCUUGGGUUCGUGGGAGACCAAAAGAAAUGUCUUCAAGAAAAGCUGAGAAAGUCCUCCAUUAGAAAUAAUUUUCUAAACAUCUGGUCUCAUGUUCGGAAAUUUGAUCAUCGUGAGCCAUUUCUGGUUUUAAAUUUAAAUUUAAAUGACUUCAAGGUAAUGA